ACUUGGGUGGCUCAGUUGGUUGAGCGUCUGACUUUGGCUCAGGUCAUGAUCUCAUAUCUUGUGGGUUCAAGCCCCACAUCGGGCU
rnacentral:tRNA from 1 species